ACCUCGGUGGUGUAGUGUUAGCAGGCGUUCCCUUUAUGGAUGAGACGCUGGUUCGACUCCCGUCUGAGGUC